rnacentral:rRNA from 1 species
GACGAACGCUGGCGGCGUGCUUAACACAUGCAAGUCGAACGGAAAGGCCCUGCUUUUGUGGGGUGCUCGAGUGGCGAACGGGUGAGUAACACGUGAGUAACCUGCCCUUGACUUUGGGAUAACUUCAGGAAACUGGGGCUAAUACCGGAUAGGAGCUCCUGCUGCAUGGUGGGGGUUGGAAAGUUUCGGCGGUUGGGGAUGGACUCGCGGCUUAUCAGCUUGUUGGUGGGGUAGUGGCUUACCAAGGCAUUGACGGGUAGCCGGCCUGAGAGGGUGACCGGCCACAUUGGGCCUGAGAUACGGCCCAGACUCCUACGGGAGGCAGCAGUGGGGAAUAUUGCACAAUGGGCGGAAGCCUGAUGCAGCAACGCCGCGUGCGGGAUGACGGCCUUCGGGUUGUAAACCGCUUUCGCCUGUGACGAAGCGUGAGUGACGGUAAUGGGGAAAGAAGCACCGGCUAACUACGU